GUUAUUGAGGACAGAGAGAGAGAGAGAGAGUUAUAGAGGACAGAGAGAGAGAGAGAGUUAUAGAGGACAGAGAGAGAGAGAGAGAGAGAGUUAUAGAGGACAGAGAGAGAGAUAUAGUUAUAGAGGACAGAGAGAGAGAUAUAGUUAUAGAGGACAGAGAGAGAGAGUUAGAUGACAGAGAGAGAGAGAGUUAGAGGACAGAGAGAGAGAGUUAUAGAGGACAGAGAGAAAGAGUUAUAGAGGACAGAGAGAGAGAGAGUUAUAGAGGCCGGACAGAGAGAGUUAUAGAGGUCAGAGAGAGAGAGAGUUAUAGAGGUCAGAGAGAGAGU
ensembl:lncRNA